rnacentral:rRNA from 1 species
UCCUGCCAGUAGUCAUAUGCUUGUCUCAAAGAUUAAGCCAUGCAUGUCUCAGUACAGGCCGAACUAAGGCGAAACCGCGGAUGGCUCAUUAAAUCAGUCAUGAUUUACUGGAUGUUGUAAAACCCACUACUUGGAUAACUGUGGUAAUUCUAGAGCUAAUACAUGCAACCGAGCUCCGACCCUGACCUCCUCUUCUCGUAAAAAAGAAAGGGGGGCGGGGGAAGGGCGCAUUUAUUAGAUCACAAAACCGGUCGGACUACGGUCCGUAAAACAAAACCCUACUAAAACAAUUUCUUGUGAUGACUCUGAAUAACCCACAGCCGAGCGCUAAGGUCUUCGCACCGGCGCCGUAUCCUUCGAGUGUCUGCCUUAUCAGCUUUCGAUUGUAGGUUAUUCGCCUACAAUGGCUGUAACGGGUAACGGGGAAUCAGGGUUCGAUUCCGGAGAGGGAGCCUGAGAAACGGCUACCACAUCUAAGGAAGGCAGCAGGCACGCAAAUUACCCACUCCCGGCUCGGGGAGGUAGUGACGAAAAAUAACGAUGCGGGACUCUUCCGAGGCCUCGCAAUCGGAAUGAGUUUACUUUAAAUCCUUGGACGAGGAUCCAUUGGAGGGCAAGUCUGGUGCCAGCAGCCGCGGUAAUUCCAGCUCCAAUAGCGUAUAUUAAAGUUGUUGCGGUUAAAAAGCUCGUAGUUGGAUCUCGGCAGGUAGGGAGCGGUUCGUUAUUUGACGCUNCUGCUCCAUUUACCUGUGAUAUUAGCGGAGGUUCCAGGGUGCUCUUAACCGAGUGUUCUGGGGCGCCGCUAGGUUUACUUUGAAAAAAUUAGAGUGCUCAAAGCAGGCUUGACACGCUUGAAUAUGGUACGCAUGGAAUGAUGGAACAGGACCUCGGUUCUGCCAUUUUNUAUCGGUUUUUUUGAACCAGAGGUAAUGAUUAAAGGGAACUGACGGGGGCAUUAGUAUUGCGGCGCUAGAGGUGAAAUUCUUGGACCGUCGCAAGACUAACUACUGCGAAAGCAUUUGCCAAGAAUGUUUUCAUUAAUCAAGAACGAAAGUUAGAGGAUCGAAGGCGAUCAGAUACCGCCCUAGUUCUAACCCUAAACGAUGCUAACUGGCGAUCCGCUUGAGUCAUACCCACGACUGAGCGGGAAUCCCCCGGGAAACCAAAGUUUUUGAGUUCCGGGGGAAGUAUGGUUGCAAAAUCGAAACUUAAAGGAAUUGACGGAAGGGCACCACCAGGAGUGGAGCCUGCGGCUUAAUUUGACUCAACACGGGGAACCUCACCAGGCCCGGACACUGGAAGGAUUGACAGAUUGAGAGCUCUUUCUCGAUUCAGUGGUUGGUGGUGCAUGGCCGUUCUUAGUUGGUGGAGCGAUCUGUCUGGUUGAUUCCGAUAACGAACGAGACUCUACCCUACUAACUAGUCGGCGGAUCGUUUCCCGAGACGGGUAAAUCUAACUUUUGCUCGGAUGUCCUCGCGGUCGAUUCGCGAGCGGUUUACAGGGGGCGUUUUCCCUCGCCGCCCGCCGCUCACUUUCGGUCGUUCCGUUCCUUCCCUUCUCUCUAUAUCUCUUCCGUCCGUGGCGCUUUCUGCCUUCGCGUCGUCGCCCGCCCCCUUUUUUUCCCACCCGUUUGCUGGGCGGUUUAAACCCCUCGAUACCCCUUUCGCGCGGCGCGGGAUCCAUCCGCUCGUCGCGCGCGGGGAUUAGUUCCUUCGUCGUUUUUCCCGUUCGCGCCCCCUUCCCCUUUCUCCCGUUCCUCCGUAAAAAGGGGUUCGGGGUUGGGUGGUUGGGGUGUCGCGUUCGGGUCGGCGGCGGAGGAGCCCCCCGUGCGCGCGAGUGGCCCCGCUAACCGCGCGAUUUUGGGGCGAGAGGGGCGCCGUUCGGCGUAUCGGGACCGGGUUGAGGUGCGCGUGGCUCGGCGAGGAGUAGUAGUGGCGCGGCGGCGGUAGCAGUAUAGUAGUAGUCGUUCGGAAGGGCGGGGCGUCUCGGUGGUGGGCGCGCGGCGGUUUCGGGGUUGCGUCCUCGCCGUCACGCGGUCGUCGCGGGCUCCGAGCGGGGACUACCCAGCGAGGGGCGUCCGUCGCAACUUCUUCUUAGAGGGAUCGGCGGCGUCUAGCCGCACGAGAUGGAGCAAUAACAGGUCUGUGAUGCCCUUAGAUGUUUUGGGCCGCACGCGCGCUACAAUGCAGGGCUCAGCGUGCUAUCCCCCUCCGAAAGGAGCGGGUAACCCCAUGAAACCCCUUCCCGAUUGGGAUUGGGGAUUGUAAGUGUUUCCCAUGAACGAGGAAUUCCCAGUAAGCGCUCGU